UCUAGCCAUGGGCAGGUUGAAGGUUGGGUAACACUAACUGGAGGACCGAACCGACUAAUGUUGAAAAAUUAGCGGAUGACCUGUGGCUGGGGGUGAAAGGCCAAUCAAACCGGGAGAUAGCUGGUUCUCCCCGAAAGCUAUUUAGGUAGCGCCUCGUGAACUCAUCUCCGGGGGUAGAGCACUGUUUCGGCUAGGGGGCCAUCCCGGCUUACCAACCCGAUGCAAACUGCGAAUACCGGAGAAUGUUAUCACGGGAGACACACGGCGGGUGCUAACGUCCGUCGUGAAGAGGGAAACAACCCAGACCGCCAGCUAAGGUCCCAAAGUCAUGGUUAAGUGGGAAACGAUGUGGGAAGGCCCAGACAGCCAGGAUGUUGGCUUAGAAGCAGCCAUCAUUUAAAGAAAGCGUAAUAGCUCACUGGUCGAGUCGGCCUGCGCGGAAGAUGUAACGGGGCUAAACCAUGCACCGAAGCUGCGGCAGCGACAUUUAGGUGUUGUUGGGUAGGGGAGCGUUCUGUAAGCCUGUGAAGGUGGCCUGUGAGGGUUGCUGGAGGUAUCAGAAGUGCGAAUGCUGACAUAAGUAACGAUAAAGCGGGUGAAAAGCCCGCUCGCCGGAAGACCAAGGGUUCCUGUCCAACGUUAAUCGGGGCAGGGUGAGUCGACCCCUAAGGCGAGGCCGAAAGGCGUAGUCGAUGGGAAACGGGUUAAUAUUCCCGUACUUGGUGUUACUGCGAAGGGGGGACGGAGAAGGCUAUGUUGGCCGGGCGACGGUUGUCCCGGUUUAAGCGUGUAGGUGUGUGUUCCAGGUAAAUCCGGUUCACUUUAACACUGAGGCGUGAUGACGAGGCACUACGGUGCUGAAGCAACAAAUGCCCCGCUUCCAGGAAAAGCCUCUAAGCAUCAGGUAACAUCAAAUCGUACCCCAAACCGACACAGGUGGUCAGGUAGAGAAUACCAAGGCGCUUGAGAGAACUCGGGUGAAGGAACUAGGCAAAAUGGUGCCGUAACUUCGGGAGAAGGCACGCUGACACGUAGGUGAAGUGAUUUACUCAUGGAGCUGAAGUCAGUCGAAGAUACCAGCUGGCUGCAACUGUUUAUUAAAAACACAGCACUGUGCAAACACGAAAGUGGACGUAUACGGUGUGACGCCUGCCCGGUGCCGGAAGGUUAAUUGAUGGGGUCAGCGCAAGCGAAGCUCCUGAUCGAAGCCCCGGUAAACGGCGGCCGUAACUAUAACGGUCCUAAGGUAGCGAAAUUCCUUGUCGGGUAAGUUCCGACCUGCACGAAUGGCGUAAUGAUGGCCAGGCUGUCUCCACCCGAGACUCAGUGAAAUUGAACUCGCUGUGAAGAUGCAGUGUACCCGCGGCAAGACGGAAAGACCCCGUGAACCUUUACUAUAGCUUGACACUGAACAUUGAGCCUUGAUGUGUAG
rnacentral:rRNA from 1 species